GUGAUUGUAGCUCAGUUGGUUAGAGCGCCAGGUUGUGGCCCUGGAGGUCGCGGGUUCGACCCCCGUCAUUCACC